rnacentral:rRNA from 1 species
UCGCCUGUUUAUCAAAAACAUAACCUUUAGCCAAACAAAUAUUAAAGGCAACGCCUGCCCAGUGAACAAUUAAACGGCCGCGGUACCCUAACCGUGCAAAGGUAGCAUAAUCAUUUGUCUACUAAUUAUAGACCUGUAUGAAAGGCAAAAUGAGGGUCUAACUGUCUCUUAUAGUGAGUCAAUUAAACUGAUCUCCUAGUAAAAAAGCUAGAAUUCGAACAUAAGACCAGAAGACCCUGUGAAGCUUAAACUAAACUAUUAAACCAAGUAAUAGCUACUUUCGGUUGGGGCGACCUUGGAAAAAAUAAGAACUUCCAAAUAACAUAUACACCAUAAAUACUAGGCCUACAAGCCAAAUUACGACCCAGCAUAGCUGAGAAUUGAAACAAGUUACUCCAGGGAUAACAGCGCAAUCUUCUUCAAGAGCCCAUAUCAAAAAGAAGGUUUACGACCUCGAUGUUGGAUCAGGACAUCCUAAUGGUGCAGAAGCUAUUAAGGGUUCGUUUGUUCAACGAUUAACAGUCCUACGUGAUCUGAGUUCAGACCGGAUUUGUUCAACAAUUAAAACCCUACGUGAUCUGAGUUCAGACCGGAGA